ACCAUCUAUGUGUGUAACAUGGUGAUGGCUGGCAGGAGGAUCCCCAAGAGGAACAGACAUAUUAGGAUUCCCAUGAUUAACAGACACACAUUCCUCUCCAGUGGAGACAUGAGCAGCUGCAGAUUUCCUUCCCUUGUUGUAAUUUAUGUUUUGAGGAAACACAUGAAUCUUGUAGCACUUAUCAAUUAAGUGCCCAGAUUUCUUUCAGUAUCUGCAAAAUAAGGGCCCUCUGCUUUGUUCAAAAUUAACUCUGGGUCUGAAAAUAGGGGUCUAGGCACUGUGGCCUGAUUAAACCCAACUGAGUGCUUGUUUGUAUUAGCAUUAAAAGACAUAGAGUCUGGACUGAUUUGAGAAAUAGAUUGAACUUUUCUCUGUUUCUCAUCAUUAAGCACUAUAUUGUAAACAUUGUCAAGGGAAGGAAAUGGCUGCAUCGUCAACAGAUUACUCCUAACCCCCAUGUAUGCUUCAUUUAAACACAUAAGAAACUAGAAUACCUUGUUUUCAUCAUCUUCCUCAAUUAUUUCAUUUUUAGCAUCACGCACACAUCUCUGCCCAUGACACAUUGUGCCCAACUCAUCCCACAGGCCUUUGAGCUUGUUAAAGUAUGAGGCUACGUCUAAGCAGCCUUGAGAUGUGUGGGAAAGUUCCCUUUUUAAUAUCAGAGGAAUAUACAAAAGGGGGCUGGUAGAGUCUACCAAGGAGGAGGUACCAGCAGUGGUAUUAGAAGCCAUGAUUAAUGAACCAGCUUGAAAGAAAAACAGUUUCGACAAGCAAAAUAUAAUGGGACCAGAUACUCAUAUACGGAAUCAGAUAGUCACACACAAAGCAUACAAUACUCAAAAUAUGGACAGAGUUACCCUUCUUCUUCGCGACCGGAGAAGAUCGGCCUUCAAUCAAUAGAGAAAACCCUAGGUCCAACACCGGAAACCCUAGGUUCUGAAACUCACCGAAAUAAGGUCACCCUCCUUCUUCGCGACCGAAGAAGAUCAGCCUUCAAUCAACAGAGAAAACCCUAGGUCCAACACCGGAAACCCUAGGUAUGAAACUCAACGAAAUAAGGUCACAGACGCCGGAAAGUUACCCAAAGCGUCCAUCAAGCGAAGAGAAAGUCAUCGGACAACCCCAAAACUCUAGGUCCAAAAGUCGGAAACCCUUAGAAUUUGAAGAACUCGUCGGAACAAAGUCAGAGAUGUCGUAAAAUCACCCAAAUCAUCUACUGAUACAGGAUCGGAGCCUCAAACAGUCAGAAAAGUCCCGAUUAACCGAUUAUCAUUCAUCAAAAAAAAUAUACGGACAGUAUUUUUUUCCAGAUAACCGAAGGAAAACUUCAGCGAAAGCUUCAUCAAGUAUUGAUAACACGUAACAGAGAAGGAUCGGAAGAUUUUCCUGCUCUGAUACCAUGAAAACAUUAAGGUUUGAAGAAGAAAAUCAGAGAAGAUGAAGAUGAACUGAGAGACACAGAGAGAAACGGGAAGCUUCUGGAGAAAGCCAGAAAGCAAAA
rnacentral:lncRNA from 1 species